UAUAAUUUCCGUUUUAAAAUCUCUGACGUUUCGAAUACUUUACAAAUUUAGUGGUCACGGAAGAAAAAAGAAUUCAGGAGUAUUGGGGAAAAAAUGAUUUGAUAUGUGCUUAAAUACGUUUCACGCAGAAAUAUUCGAUCCGAAUUCAAUAUUGAGCGAGACGCCGAAAUAUGUUCGGUAAUUCGAUACAUCAACCUAUAUGCGAAAGAAAUUGAUUAUACAAUGAAAUCAGAGUUCCACGUUCCCGAUUUUAUCCGAAAAGCUUAUAUUUGAAGAACCUUGACCGCUCUAAAAAGGUUUUAUUGCUCAUAAACGCGAAACGUGACUGCAUGAAAAUUUUACGGGGAUAGUUUAUUUUGACGGAAAGUAAUUCGGCGUUGGUCGUUGUGGAAGUUUGCAAUGUAUUGAACACCUUUUUUGGUUUUGUAUUUAGAACCUUUGAAUUCGGCUCAAAGGAACAUUCAGGAGUAUUUUCAAUGGCGACGGGACUUACUGUGAGUCCGUGAAAGUUGUUACAACCUCAUCGCGUAUAGCUGCCCCGAAGCUCUUUACAGGACAGCAUUUAUUCCAAAACUAUUAUGUAUUCAACUUCAUUUUUUCAAAAACACCACUUUACACCAGGAGGCCAAUGAGCAAUAUUAAUCCGGCAACGGCAAUCAAACAAAAGGUUCCCGAAGGAAAUAAUUCAGAAAAUGCUUGAGUUCGAUCCUUUGUGAUCUCAGGGUUCGUGCAACAAGCGGAUGUUCUCGGUGCAAAUAUCAAAGCGUUUCCGAGCUAUUGGAAAACGAACGUAUAUGGAGAACUCUUCUUUAAACAAGGUUAUCUAAGCGAAAUCUACGUAAAGUGCCUGUUAACUGUAAAUUGGUAUUUUCGGCAACGACAUACGAACGUAUUGUAAAUUAAAAAGUAAUUGUUUUACCGAGAACCUUAAUCGGAAAUUGAUAUAAAUAUUACGAAUACAUUUAUUUUGAAAUGAAA